GAUGAACGCUGGCGGCGUGCCUAAUACAUGCCAGUCGAGCGAACAGACGAGGAGCUUGCUCCUCUGAUGUUAGCGGCGGACGGGUGAGUAACACGUGGAUAACCUACCUAUAAGACUGGGAUAACUUCGGGAAACCGGAGCUAAUACCGGAUAACAUGUUGAACCGCAUGGUUCAACAGUGAAAGACGGUUUUGCUGUCACUUAUAGAUGGAUCCGCGCCGCAUUAGCUAGUUGGUAAGGUAACGGCUUACCAAGGCAACGAUGCGUAGCCGACCUGAGAGGGUGAUCGGCCACACUGGAACUGAGACACGGUCCAGACUCCUACGGGAGGCAGCAGUAGGGAAUCUUCCGCAAUGGGCGAAAGCCUGACGGAGCAACGCCGCGUGAGUGAUGAAGGUCUUCGGAUCGUAAAACUCUGUUAUUAGGGAAGAACAAAUGUGUAAGUAACUAUGCACGUCUUGACGGUACCUAAUCAGAAAGCCACGGCUAACUACGUG
rnacentral:rRNA from 1 species